UACGUAGGGGGCAAGCGUUGUCCGGAUUUAUUGGGCGUAAAGAGCGUGUAGGCGGCCAUGUAGGUCCGUUGUGAAAACUCGAGGCUCAACCUCGAGACGCCGAUGGAAACCAUGUGGCUAGAGUCCGGAAGAGGAGAGUGGAAUUCCUGGUGUAGCGGUGGAAUGCGCAGAUAUCAGGAAGAACACCCGUGGCGAAGGCGGCUCUCUGGGACGGUAUUGACGCUGAGACGCGAAAGCGUGGGGAGCGAACAGG
rnacentral:rRNA from 1 species